ensembl:miRNA
GCGGGGUGAGGUAGUAGGUUGUGUGGUUUCAGGGCAGUGAUGUUGCCCCUGGGAAGAUAACUAUACAACCUACUGCCUUCCCCGA